rnacentral:rRNA from 1 species
UACGUAGGGUGCAAGCGUUGUCCGGAAUUAUUGGGCGUAAAGAGCUCGUAGGUGGUUUGUCGCGUUGUUCGUGAAAACUCACAGCUCAACUGUGGGCGUGCGGGCGAUACGGGGCAGACUGGAGUACUGCAGGGGAGACUGGAAUUCCUGGUGUAGCGGUGGAAUGCGCAGAUAUCAGGAGGAACACCGGUGGCGAAGGCGGGUCUCUGGGCAGUAAACUGACGCUGGAGGAGCGAAAGCGUGGGGAGCGAACAGGA